CAGACUUAGAAGCCAGAAGACAUUUUGCGUCUGGACGAAGGACCAACAGAGCUGAGAUAUUCUUCUAAACAUCUUAAUUCAAUUUCUGCAGAAGAAAGUCAUACACAUCUGGGACUGCAUGAGGAUACCAUUUCCACGCCAUUUAACCAAUUCUUCUGAAACUUGGUGUACAUGCCUCAUUUCUCAUUGGGACCAAAAAAGCCUCAAGGAUCCAUAAGGUCCGGUAUGAUGGAUUUUUCCUGUACACUGAAAAUGUUUCGUUUAGGAUUCAGACAGAAAUACGUGUUUUUUGGAUUCAUCCAUUGAGAGGGUUUAACCCCAAUCCUCUACUGAUCAAUUUUAAAUGAUUUGCCAUUUUGAGGAGGAAUCCGCAUUGCUGCUUGCAGCUAUAUUUGUAUAUAGUUGUUGUCUGAGUUACCGUAGCCUGUCUGUCAGAUCAAACCAGUCUGGCCAUUAUCUGUUGACCUCUCACAACAAGGCGUUUCCACCCGCAGAACUGCUGCUCACUGGAUGUUUUUUGGCACCAUUAACUGAAGCUCCUGACCCGUAUCUGCAUGACUUUAUGCAUGGCACUGCUGCCACAUGAUUGGCUGAUUAGAUAAUCGCAUUAAUAAGAUGCAUCUGCUGCUUUUGAAACUUAUUGCUGUUUUCAGAUAGCUUGCAUUCCUUGACGAGAUAAGAGGAGUACGAAACACUUUCCCACGAUUGCUGCUGCUGACCGUACAGCGUUUACGCCUAUAUCUCACAUUCCAGAGCCUGGCGAAGCCUCCGGGGGGCAGUAUGUCUCACUUCCAGCCCACAGUCUGUGUGUUUGUGUACAUUGUUCAUCUCUGUCAUGAGAGGGCUGAAAGGGGUAUAAAGGCCUGGCUGGUAAGACCUUGCAUCAGGGUGCUCUAGACGCCCAAAAACGGCCCACAGACAUAUGUGGAGUGGGUCUUAUCAGCAUGAGUCAGUGUGUGGGGAACAAUGUCAGGGAUCCUCUGAACAAACAGCUUGCUUUUGAGCAUAUUCACUCAACCUCUCCUUCACCAUGGCUAAAUUAUUCUUGUCUGGUCCCCUUUGACCUUAAUAUUGCAAUAUUACCCUUAUCAGAUCGUCCAUGAGGAAGUUGUUCAGCACUGACUGUGGCUUGCUCUUAUCUUCAGUUCAGCAUGUAACACAGAUAGUGGACCCAUUUUACUAUGCAAUUUACCAAGCAGUCAAUAGACAAAGCAAACAUUUAGCCACAUUUACAUUUUUACAUGUCAAUGCUACAUAUAUUUUGAGUUUCCCAUGGAAAGAACAUGUUCCUGUUUUGGUCCCUUGCUCAGUCCUUUGCUGAUAUGGUGGCACACUGAGGUGGUGCCUCACCCUGAUAGGUGUUUGAAGUGUGCCGGGACUUUCUCAUACAGCUGCCAGAUGGAAACGGUUAUGCAACUGGUCAGCUAUCUGAUCUCAGUUCAGUGGAAGCAGGCAGCGGCUUGUGUAUCUGUGUUGAUGGAGGAUGAAACUAGGUUAUUUUGGCGCCUGCACAUAAUUUGACAUUGGUAAUGAGAUGGGUUGGUAUGGGACCUUGGGAAAUUCAAAUAAAGCCACCACAAGACCAACCAGCUACACUCAAAAAUAACAGCAGAAGUACAUAUGUAACUUUCUCUCUGAUUUCAAACUUUCUCACGGUUAAACGCUGAAACGUAAGUAUUGUUAGAGGUUGUCUUUCAGAACAAAAUCUUGGGUAGGCACAAUAUCUGCCUGUUAAGUUUAUUCUACAUUGAUUUAUGUGACAUUGCAGCACAAUGCAGCAAAAAUAUAUUAUUAUAGUGUGAUUAAAAGGAGGGAUUCAUUUUGCUACUGUUUGCUUUGUAUAAUAAUUACUGUAAUAUCUUGAUUCACUUGUGUUGCCACAUUCUUGUCACUUUGAUGUCAAAAGAAUGGUGCUUCUUUGAGAGGUGUCCCAACUUAUCUAGUCCUAUUUACCUAAAUUUCUCUGUAAUAGCACUUUACUGGUAUUUAUACAGAUUCACAUCAUAUAUUAUAAAAAUAAAGCCUGAUGAUCAUAAAGCCAAACAGACAUUUAUGUAGGCGUACAUAGGUUUCUAAUGUUGGUUGCUCCUUAAAUGCAUCACAUGUGUCCACUUUACAUUAAGGUACAUAGGUAACUGAUGUUGAAUAUAUGAUAAAUGCUGUGAAUGAGAAUGAAGAUCUGACUAGGACCAUUAGCACCAUUCUUUUGAAAUCAACAUGACAUGGAAAAUGAGUCUAGACCUUAUGAUAAUUUUUAUAAAAAUAAAGCAAACUUGAGCAAAAUGACACAAUACUUCCUUUAAAUCUACUAUAGUAGUCUAUUUUUGCUGUAUCAUCACAUACAUAUUUUGUUUUAGAUUAAUGUUCUUAAAAUAAGUGUGAAUAAGUGUUAUUAAGCAUUUAUAACAUGUGAGGUAAAAUUGGUUGCUAUUUGGCAGAUAUUGCAUGAAAGUCCCCUUUUUAUACAUGCUGUUAUAACCAUGUAUCAAUUAUUUGUACAUUAUUGGCCAUUAAUAAACCCCUAAAGUGCUGUGAAAUUGUUUUGUUUUGCUGUAUAUCGCAUACUAUAUUGUUUAAAAAAUUCAAACAAAAUCUAACAUAAAACAAAGGCAAUCUGAGUAAACACAAAAUACAGUUUUUAAAUGAUAAUGCUAUUUACUGAAGCAAAAAAAUUAUCCAAUACCAGAAUUGAUGAGAAAAGAGGUAAUUGAAAUACAUCAGUUUGGGAAGGGUUACAAAACUUUUUCAAAGGCUCUGGGACUCCAAAGAAACACAGUGAGAGCCAUUAUCUCCAAAUGGAGAAAACUUGGCACAGUAGUGAACCUUCCCACAAGUAGCCGACCUUCCAAAAUUCCUCUAAGAGCACAGCGACAACUCAUCCAGGAAGUAAAAAAAAAGCCAAGGACAACAUCCAAGGAACUGCAGGCCUCCCUCGCAUCAAUAAAGGUCACUGUUCAUGACUCCAUUAUCAGAAAGACCCUGAUGAUCCUCAAAUCUUUUGGGAGAUUGUUCUGUGGAUUGAUGAGUCAGAAAUAGAACUGUUUGGAGACAGGGGUCCCAUUACGGUGAUGCUUUGCUGCUUCAGGGCAUGGGAGACUUGCAAUAAUGAGGGGAAACAUGAAUUCUGCUCUCUAUCAUAAAAUCCUAAAUGAGAACGUUCAGUCAACAGUUUGUGAGUUGAAGCUCAAGCUCAACUGCAUUAUGCAGCAAGACAAUGAUCCAAAGCAUAGGAGUUAGUCCACAUAAGUAUUUAGAGUAUAUAGAGUAAGUAUAUAUAUAUAUAUAUAUAUAUAUAUAUAUAUAUACAGUAAAUAUAUUUGAAAACUGUAUUUUGUGUUUACUCAGGUUGCCUUUGUAUUAUGUUAUAUCUCGUUUGAAGAUCUAAAACAAUUAAGUAUAGCAAAUUCACAAAAAUAGAAGAAAUCAGAAAAUGCUUUUUCACAGAACUGUAUAUAAAUCCUUAACAAAGUAAACAUGAAUGUAAAGAGUUACCUAUACAAUGAACAUGUUAU